rnacentral:rRNA from 1 species
GACGAACGCUGGCGGCGUGCUUAACACAUGCAAGUCGAACGGAAAGGCCCUGCUUUUGUGGGGUGCUCGAGUGGCGAACGGGUGAGUAACACGUGAGUAACCUGCCCUUGACUUUGGGAUAACUUCAGGAAACUGGGGCUAAUACCGGAUAGGAGCUCCUGCUGCAUGGUGGGGGUUGGAAAGUUUCGGCGGUUGGGGAUGGACUCGCGGCUUAUCAGCUUGUUGGUGGGGUAGUGGCUUACCAAGGCUUUGACGGGUAGCCGGCCUGAGAGGGUGACCGGCCACAUUGGGACUGAGAUACGGCCCAGACUCCUAUGGGAGGCAGCAGUGGGGAAUAUUGCACAAUGGGCGGAAGCCUGAUGCAGCAACGCCGCGUGCGGGAUGACGGCCUUCGGGUUGUAAACCGCUUUCGCCUGUGACGAAGCGUGGGUGACGGUAAUGGGUAAAGAAGCACCGGCUAACUACGUG